AAAACGACUCUCGGCAACGGAUAUCUCGGCUCUCGCAUCGAUGAAGAACGUAGCGAACUGCGAUACUUGGUGUGAAUUGCAGAAUCCCGUGAACCAUCGAGUCUUUGAACGCAAGUUGCGCCCGAAGCCGUCCGGCCGAGGGCACGUCUGCCUGGGCGUCACGC
rnacentral:rRNA from 3 species